UUAAUGCAGUUUGAUUAGGGGAGGAGAGAGAGAAGAGCAAAGACACUAGGGAGUUAGUGGGCAGGGAAAUGAAAGGAUUGUGUCCUUCUGUUUAAGAGCUUAGAGAAAAGGCCCAUAGGACCUGGAGGAAAAAGAAAGUGAAAGAAAUGUAAGGGACAGAGCGUUCCCCACACUGGUGACUGCAAAACUGAAAAUUGUCAAAAAGAAGACAAAUGGGAAAAAACGAAGAGCCCAGGAUUAGUUUCCCAUGUAGAAGAAUAGUUGUAUCAACUGGAUGGAGCUUUAAUCAAUGGAGAAGGAAUGGACUCUUCAAAGAAUGGUUCCUGACAACCCGCUACUCAUACAGAAAGGCAUUGAAAACCAGAGAUGAAUGAUGAUGACUUUGUUGAAGAAGGGAAGGAAGACUAGAAGAUCUUACUCCUUGAAAAAGCUUUUUUUUUUUUGAGGCUGUGUUAUCCAGCUUUUCACACCAAGUCUAUAGAGAGAGCAGAUGUUUUUAUUCCCAUGUUACUAAUAAAGAAACUGAGUUAUUGAAGAGCUUAAAAACUUGUCCAGGGCACCAAAAUAAUCAAUGAAAUGGCUGAACUAGAACCUUGUCUGAAGUCCCAGAUUAAGAAUCUUUAUGAUACAAAAUGGGGCAAAAGAAAGUUUACAGUUGUUCAUAUGGAAAAUAAUACAAUUAUUAAUAAAUAAUCAUACAAGAAUAAAUUGUUUUGCAUACUUACAACUAUAAACCUAUUUUGCCCCACCCUGUAUGAUGAACUGAGUGUUGUGUGUGGCAUUGUAAACCAUGGGUCCCCAGGGGAGCAAUUAGAGGGCUCCACCACUAUAGUGGACUGAAUUGUCUCCCAAAAAAGGUAUGUUC